GGGCGCAAGCCUGAUCCAGCCAUACCGCGUGGGUGAAGAAGGCCUUCGGGUUGUAAAGCCCUUUUGUUGGGAAAGAAAUCCAUCUGGCUAAUACCCGGGUGGGAUGACGGUACCCAAAGAAUAAGCACCGGCUAACUUCGUGCCAGCAGCCGCGGUAAUACGAAGGGUGCAAGCGUUACUCGGAAUUACUGGGCGUAAAGCGUGCGUAGGUGGUCGUUUAAGUCCGUUGUGAAAGCCCUGGGCUCAACCUGGGAACUGCAGUGGAUACUGGGCGACUAGAAUGUGGUAGAGGGUAGCGGAAUUCCUGGUGUAGCAGUGAAAUGCGUAGAGAUCAGGAGGAACAUCCAUGGCGAAGGCAGCUACCUGGACCAACAUUGACACUGAGGCACGAAAGCGUGGGGAGCAAACAGGAUUAGAUACCCUGGUAGUCCACGCCCUAAACGAUGCGAACUGGAUGUUGGGUGCAAUUUGGCACGCAGUAUCGAAGCUAACGCGUUAAGUUCGCCGCCUGGG
rnacentral:rRNA from 1 species